rnacentral:lncRNA from 1 species
GGAACAGUACGGCGAGCUCUUGGUGGAUCAGAAGGCAUCUCCUCUAUCCACGUUUCUACUGCCUCCUGAGAGCCAUCUUCAUGCCAAACUCCCUGGGUUUCCUGUGGACGACCUGGUUCAUUAUGUACAUUACCAGGUGUUUCCUCGAGCCAACUUCGAUCCACUGGUUCAGCAUCAGCACUGCCACCUCUCCAUUCAUUGAAAGGACCAUAAUCUGAUUGUUGCCAGUUUCCUCCACUGUUGUCCGUAAGUUCUUCCUGCCAACCACGAACCUGAUUAACAGUUUCCUGCCAAUU